rnacentral:rRNA from 1 species
AUGGAGAUGGGUGUGCAGGUCGUCGACGUGGGGUUGCUGCGCGCGUAUGCCGAGGUGUUCAUCACGGGCGACGACUCGAGGAGGCCGACGAACAGGACGCCCUUGGACCAGCAUGGCGGGGGGAGGCCAUGUAGCACACGUUGCUCUGGUUGCCCUGUAUCCUGGACGCCGCCGACCACAGGGGCUCCGGCUGCACGUGUUUCCCGGCCACCUCCGACAUGGGGGCUCUCGCGACGUGUUGCUUGGUAUCCCGGCCACCGCGGACAGCGAGGGCUCCCUUUGCACGUGUUGCUUUGUUUCCCGGCCGCCGCUGACCACUCGGGCUCCGGCUUCACGUGUUGCUCUGCGUCCACCGCUCCUUUGGCGACAAUGAGGACACACCGAGAGCUCAUUCUACCCCGACGGAAACUGGAUUGUUUUUUUGAGAGGGAGAACAGGAAUUCUAGGGGAACGAGGAGAUUAUUGAAAUUAGGCGGUCAUCAUGGUUUGGAUAUUUUUGUUGUUUUUCUUUUCGGUUUCAUACUACUAUUGGAUUUUGUUGUUUCUCACUAA